rnacentral:tRNA from 1 species
CCCGGCGCGGCCGGCCGGUGGGCGGGCCCCCGGAGCGGGCCCCGGUGGAGCCCGAUCCGCACCGGGGCCGGAUCCGCCGGUCGCCGGCC